UACAUGGGGUGCAAACGUUGCUCGGAAUCAUUGGGCGUAAAGCGCACGUAGGCGGUCUGACAAGUCGGGUGUGAAAUCCCUCGGCUUAACCGAGGAAGUGCAUUCGAAACUAUCGGACUUGAAUACUCAAGAGGGUCUCGGAAUUCCCGGUGUAGAGGUGAAAUUCGUAGAUAUCGGGAGGAACACCAGUGGCGAAGGCGGAGACCUGGGGAGAUAUUGACGCUGAGGUGCGAAAGCGUGGGGAGCAAACAGG
rnacentral:rRNA from 1 species